rnacentral:misc_RNA from 1 species
GAAAUGCGAUAAGUAAUGUGAAUUGCAGAAUUCCGUGAAUCAUUAAAUCUUUGAACGCACAUUGCGCUUGUCUGGUAACCCAGCGAGCAUGUCUGUUUGAGAAUCAGUUUAACUUAUCACUCUAAAUUUUAUCAGUAAUGAAAUAAUUUAGGAUGGAAUUGGGACUUUUCUUAACCUAUGGUUUAGAAGGACCUUAAAUUAAACUUGGCCUAAAAUCAAAAGUUUUGUUACUAUCCAAAAGGCAUGACCCAAGAUUAAGACUUUUAUUAGUCCUAAUUUGAUUGCUUACUAGGAUCUUAACUAAUACGGACUUAGAUUAAAGAUCAACCCCAAAAAUACGAAAUUUUUAGUUUGCACAAUUCUUUAAAUUUCAAGACUUUGAUCUCAAAUCAGACAAGAC